GAACGCUGGCGGCGUGCUUAACACAUGCAAGUCGAACGAUGAUCCGGUGCUUGCACCGGGGAUUAGUGGCGAACGGGUGAGUAACACGUGAGUAACCUGCCCUUAACUCUGGGAUAAGCCUGGGAAACUGGGUCUAAUACCGGAUAUGACUGAUCAUCGCAUGGUGGUUGGUGGAAAGCUUUAUUGUGGUUUUGGAUGGACUCGCGGCCUAUCAGCUUGUUGGUGAGGUAAUGGCUUACCAAGGCGACGACGGGUAGCCGGCCUGAGAGGGUGACCGGCCACACUGGGACUGAGACACGGCCCAGACUCCUACGGGAGGCAGCAGUGGGGAAU
rnacentral:rRNA from 1 species